UUGAACGCUGGCGGCAUGCCUUACACAUGCAAGUCGAACGGCAGCACGGGAGCAAUCCUGGUGGCGAGUGGCGAACGGGUGAGUAAAAUAUCGGAACAUACCUAUAAGUGGGGGAUAACUAUCCGAAAGGAUAGCUAAUACCGCAUACGCUCUGAGGAGGAAAGCAGGGGAUCUUAGGACCUUGUGCUAAUAGAGUGGCCGAUAUCUGAUUAGCUAGUUGGUAGGGUAAAAGCCUACCAAGGCGACGAUCAGUAGCUGGUCUGAGAGGACGACCAGCCACACUGGAACUGAGACACGGUCCAGACUCCUACGGGAGGCAGCAGUGGGGAAUUUUGGGCAAUGGGGGCAACCCUGAUCCAGCAAUGCCGCGUGAGUGAAGAAGGCCUUCGGGUUGUAAAGCUCUUUUGUCAGGGAAGAAACGGUGGUCGCUAAUAGCGGCUGCUAAUGACGGUACCUGAAGAAGAAGCACCGGCUAACUACGU
rnacentral:rRNA from 1 species